AAAACUCUAAGCGGUGGAUCACUCGGCUCAUGGGUCGAUGAAGAACGCAGCAAACUGUGCGUCAUCGUGUGAACUGCAGGACACAUGAACAUCGACAUUUUGAACGCAUAUCGCAGUCCAUGCUGUUAUGUACUUUAAUUAAUUUUAAAGUGCUGCUUGGACUACAUAUGGUUGAGGGUUGUAAGACUAUGCAAAUAAGUUGUUCAUAAAUUUCAUUUCAUGAUUUUUAUAAGCACAUGGUAUAUUAUUGGGUAUAAUAAUUAUUAAUUGUUAUAUUCAUAAUAUUAAAAAUUAUAUGAAAAACAUUAUUCUCACAUUGUUGUAAAUAUUUGAAUGUGAAAACGAAGAGAAAUAUUUUCUUUUUUUUUAAAUCAAAUAAUACUGAGAAAUGUCUAGCAUAAAAAAUGUGAAAAUAUUUUUCAUCUAGAAUUGUCUCUUAUUAAUGAUGCAAAAAAUCGAAAAAUGUUGCUAAUGUUAUUAUUCUUCGUUUGGUUUGUUAAAAAAUAUAACAAAUUUAAAUAUAUAAUGUUUUCUCUAUAUAAAAAGAAUUAAUGCUAAUAAAUGUUUUAUACAACCUCAACUCAUAUGGGACUACCCCUGAAUUUAAGCAUAUUAAUUAGGGGAGGAAAAGAAACUAACAAGGAUUUUCUUAGUAGCGGCGAGCGAAAAGAAAUCAGUUCAGCACUAAGUCACUUUGUCUAUAUGGCAAAUGUGAGAUGCAGUGUAUGGAGCGUCAAUAUUCUAGUAUGAGAAAUUAACGAUUUAAGUCCUUCUUAAAUGAGGCCAUUUACCCAUAGAGGGUGCCAGGCCCGUAUAACGUUAAUGAUUACUAGAUGAUGUUUCCAAAGAGUCGUGUUGCUUGAUAGUGCAGCACUAAGUGGGUGGUAAACUCCAUCUAAAACUAAAUAUAACCAUGAGACCGAUAGUAAACAAGUACCGUGAGGGAAAGUUGAAAAGAACUCUGAAUAGAGAGUUAAACAGUACGUGAAACUGCUUAGAGGUUAAGCCCGAUGAACCUGAAUAUCCGUUAUGGAAAAUUCAUCAUUAGACUUGUAGUAUUUAAACAAUAUUAUGAUAAUAGUGUGCAUUUUUUCCAUAUAAGGACAUUGUAAUCUAUUAACAUAACUAAAUUUAUCAUAAAAUAUGGCUUAUAGUUUAUUCAAAUUAUUAUGCUUGCAUUUUAACAUAGAAUAAAUGUCAUUAAUUUGAUAAAGUGCUGAUAGAUUUAUAUGACUACAGUGCGUUAAUUUUUCGGAAUUAUAUAAUGGCAUAAUUAUCAUUGAUUUUUGUGUUUAUUAUAUGCACUUGUACGAUUAACAAUGCGAAAGAUUCAGGAUACCUUCGGGACCCGUCUUGAAACACGGACCAAGGAGUCUAACAUAUGUGCAAGUUAUUGGGAUAUAAACCUAAUAGCGUAAUUAACUUGACUAAUAAUGGGAUUAGUUUUUUAACUAUUUAUAGCUAAUUAACACAAUCCCGGGGCGUUCUAUAUAGUUAUGUAUAAUAAUAUUUAUAUUAUUUAUGCCUCUAACUGGAACGUACCUUGAGCAGAUAUGCUGUGACCCGAAAGAUGGUGAACUAUACUUGAUCAGGUUGAAGUCAGGGGAAACCCUGAUGGAAGACCGAAACAGUUCUGACGUGCAAAUCGAUUGUCAGAAUUGAGUAUAGGGGCGAAAGACCAAUCGAACCAUCUAGUAGCUGGUUCCUUCCGAAGUUUCCCUCAGGAUAGCUGGUGCAUUUUAAUGUUAUAUAAAAUAAUCUUAUCUGGUAAAGCGAAUGAUUAGAGGCCUUAGGGUCGAAACGAUCUUAACCUAUUCUCAAACUUUAAAUGGGUAAGAACCUUAACUUUCUUGAUAUGAAGUUUAAGGUUAUGAUAUAAUGUGCCCAGUGGGCCACUUUGGUAAGCAGAACUGGCGCUGUGGGAUGAACCAAACGUAAUGUUACGGUGCCCAAAUUAACAACUCAUGCAGAUACCAUGAAAGGCGUUGGUUGCUUAAAACAGCAGGACGGUGAUCAUGGAAGUCGAAAUCCGCUAAGGAGUGUGUAACAACUCACCUGCCGAAGCAACUAGCCCUUAAAAUGGAUGGCGCUUAAGUUGUAUACCUAUACAUUACCGCUAAAGUAGAUGAUUUAUAUUACUUGUAAUAUAAAUUUUGAAACUUUAGUGAGUAGGAAGGUACAAUGGUAUGCGUAGAAGUGUUUGGCGUAAGCCUGCAUGGAGCUGCCAUUGGUACAGAUCUUGGUGGUAGUAGCAAAUAAUCGAAUGAGACCUUGGAGGACUGAAGUGGAGAAGGGUUUCGUGUGAACAGUGGUUGAUCACGAGUUAGUCGGUCCUAAGUUCAAGGCGAAAGCCGAAAUUUUCAAGUAUAAAAUGACUAUAUAUUACAAAAAUGCCAAUUAAUAUACUUGAAUAAUUUUGAACGAAAGGGAAUACGGUUCCAAUUCCGUAACCUGUUGAGUAUCCGUUUGUUAUUAAAUAUGGGCCUCGUGCUCAUCCUGGCAACAGGAACGACCAUAAAGAAGCCGUCGAGAGAUAUCGGAAGAGUUUUCUUUUCUGUUUUAUAGCCGUACUACCAUGGAAGUCUUUCGCAGAGAGAUAUGGUAGAUGGGCUAGAAGAGCAUGACAUAUACUGUUGUGUCGAUAUUUUCUCCUCGGACCUUGAAAAUUUAUGGUGGGGAUACGCAAACUUCUCAACAGGCCGUACCAAUAUCCGCAGCUGGUCUCCAAGGUGAAGAGUCUCUAGUCGAUAGAAUAAUGUAGGUAAGGGAAGUCGGCAAAUUAGAUCCGUAACUUCGGGAUAAGGAUUGGCUCUGAAGAUUGAGAUAGUCGGGCUUGAUUGGGAAACAAUAACAUGGUUUAUGUGCUCGUUCUGGGUAAAUAGAGUUUCUAUCAUUUAUGUUAGUUGCUUGUUCCCGGAUAGUUUAGUUACGUAGCCAAUUGUGGAACUUUCUUGCUAAAAUUUUUAAGAAUACUAGUUGGGUCAAACCAAUUAGUUCUUAUUAAUUAUAACGAUUAUCAAUUAACAAUCAAUUCAGAACUGGCACGGACUUGGGGAAUCCGACUGUCUAAUUAAAACAAAGCAUUGUGAUGGCCCUAGCGGGUGUUGACACAAUGUGAUUUCUGCCCAGUGCUCUGAAUGUCAAAGUGAAGAAAUUCAAGUAAGCGCGGGUCAACGGCGGGAGUAACUAUGACUCUCUAGUGUUGAACAGGAAGAAAUUUAACCAGUGGAAGUAUCCGGUGGUGAAAGGGGGAAAUAAUUACAUUUGAGCUUGACAAAUUUAAGAAAGAAUCACUUCCGAAUGGAAGAAUGGAACGUGCGGUUAUAUCCAUAAAAGUUUUGUUAUAUAAUCGCAAACAAAUUCUUUAAUGAUGCAUUUAUGUUUGAUUUGAAAAUUUGGCACUCUUCCUUUCAAGGACAUUGCCAGUAGGGAGUUUGACUGGGGCGGUACAUCUCUCAAAUGUCCAAGGCCAGCUCAGUGCGGACAGGAGCAAAGGGCAAAUGCUGACUUGAUCUCGUUCACACAGGGACAGCAAAAGGCCUAUCGAUCCUUUGGUUUAAAGAGUUUUUAAGUCAGAAAAGAUAGGGAUAACUGGCUUGUGGCGGCCAAGCGUUUAAAUCCUUCAUUGUGAAGCAAAAUUCACCAAGCGUUGGAUUGUUCACCCAUGCAAGGGAACGUGAGCUGGUUUAGACCGUCGUGAGACAGGUUAGUUUUACCCUACUAAUGACAAAACGUUUGCGACAGCAUUCCUGCGUAGUACGAGAGGAACCGCAGGUACGGACCAAUGGCACAAUACUUCGCGAACAGUGGUAUGACGCUACGUUGGAUUAUGCCUGAACGCCUCUAAGGUCGUAUCCGUGCUGGACUGCAAUGAUAAAUAAGGGGCAAUUUGCAUUGUAUUUUAAAGUUUGUAAUUCAUUUUAUAACGACAAUGGAUGUGAUGCCAAUGUAAUUUGUAACAUAGUAAUUGGGAGGAUCUUUGAUCACCUGGUGCCGCGCUA
rnacentral:rRNA from 1 species